AUUGAACGCUGGCGGCAGGCUUAACACAUGCAAGUCGAGCGGAGAUGAGGUGCUUGCACCUUAUCUUAGCGGCGGACGGGUGAGUAAUGCUUAGGAAUCUGCCUAUUAGUGGGGGACAACAUUCCGAAAGGAAUGCUAAUACCGCAUACGUCCUACGGGAGAAAGCAGGGGAUCUUCGGACCUUGCGCUAAUAGAUGAGCCUAAGUCGGAUUAGCUAGUUGGUGGGGUAAAGGCCUACCAAGGCGACGAUCUGUAGCGGGUCUGAGAGGAUGCUCCGCCACACUGGGACUGAGCCACGGCCCAGACUCCUACGGGAGGAAGCAGUGGGGAAUAUCGGACAAUGGGGGAAACCCUGAUCCAGCCAUGCCGCGUGUGUGAAGAAGGCCUUAUGGUUGUAAAGCACUUUAAGCGAGGAGGAGGCUACUGAGACUAAUACUCUUGGAUAGUGGACGUUACUCGCAGAAUAAGCACCGGCUAACUCUGUGCCAGCAGCCGCCGUAA
rnacentral:rRNA from 1 species